rnacentral:rRNA from 1 species
AGAUUGAACGCUGGCGGCAGGCCUAACACAUGCAAGUCGAGCGGUAGAGAGGUGCUUGCAUCUCUUGAGAGCGGCGGACGGGUGAGUAAUGCCUAGGAAUCUGCCUAGUGGUGGGGGAUAACGUUCGGAAACGGACGCUAAUACCGCAUACGUCCUACGGGAGAAAGGCGGGGGACCUUCGGGCCUCGCGCCAUUAGAUGAGCCUAGGUCGGAUUAGCUAGUUGGUGAGG